rnacentral:snoRNA from 1 species
AUUCCAUGAUGGGGACAUUCUAGGAUGUAGUCUUGGAAGCACUCCCAUGCUUCUGGAACGGAUUCAUCAUGUUGUUGCUGAAAACUUGUAAUCUUCCCACGGAGAGC